AUCGAACGCUGGCGGCAGGCCUAACACAUGCAAGUCGAACGAGUGGCGGACGGGUGCGUAAUGUCUGGGAAACUGCCUGAUGGCGGGGGAUAACUACUGGAAACGGUAGCUAAUACCGCAUACCAUCGGAUGUGCCCAAAUGGGAUUAGCUCGCAGGUGGGGUAACGGCUCACCUAGGUGACGAUCCCUAGCUGGUCUGAGAGGAUGACCGGCCACACUGUGACUGAGACACGGUCCAGACUCCUACGGGAGGCAGCAGUGGGGAAUAUUGCACAAUGGGCUCAAGCCUGAUGCAGCCAUGCCGCGUGUAUGAAGAAGGCCUUCGGGUUGUAAAGUACUUUCAGCGGGGAGGCGUUACCCGCAGAGGAAGCACCGGCUAACUCCGUGCCAGCAGCCGCGGUAAUAC
rnacentral:rRNA from 1 species